GACGAACGCUGGCGGCGUGCCUAACACAUGCAAGUCGAACGAAGCACUGUGGAUAGAGACUUCGGUCAAUUGAAACUUUGACUUAGUGGCGGACGGGUGAGUAACGCGUGAGGAACCUGCCUUUCAGAGGGGGACAACAGUUGGAAACGACUGCUAAUACCGCAUGACACAGCGAGAUCGCAUGGUCUUGCUGUCAAAGAUUUAUCGCUGAAAGAUGGCCUCGCGUCUGAUUAGAUAGUUGGUGAGGUAACGGCCCACCAAGUCGACGAUCAGUAGCCGGACUGAGAGGUUGAACGGCCACAUUGGGACUGAGAUACGGCCCAGACUCCUACGGGAGGCAGCAGUGGGGAAUAUUGGGCAAUGGGGGAAACCCUGACCCAGCAACGCCGCGUGAAGGAAGAAGGCUUUCGGGUUGUAAACUUCUUUUACCAGGGACGAAGAACGUGACGGUACCUGGAGAAAAAGCCACGGCUAACUACGUG
rnacentral:rRNA from 1 species